UCUGGGCCUGGUGUUUACCGCUGAUGCUUGCGGUCAUGGUGGCUGAGGAGCAGCAAGGGGAACGCUGCUCGGCCGAGUGCGGCAGCGUCUCCGACCCAUUCUGGCUCAGUGAUUGGCAAACGGGAAGAUUAUGUGGUUCGCCUGGGCCGCCGGACUUCGAGCUUACAUGCUAUAACGGCAGUUAUCCACUUCUUCCGAGCUCUGUGCCCGGUAGCCCCGGCUUUGCAAUCAUUGACAUCUCCUAAGGAGAACGCUUCUUGCGCGUCGUUGAUCUAUGCAAGCUGCAACUAUUACAUGACCCGCCCAACAUCUUCAACAGCUGCUUGCCGAUCUGGAACACCUCUGCUAAACUGGGCCGCCCCUUUAAGAUCUCCCCCGUCAACCUGGAACUCAUCUUCUACAACUGCACGGAGAAGGCCGCAGCGGCGGCACACCGGGGAAAAGAACUGGUGUAGGCAAAGACGAUGAGGUGCGUCAACGCGAGCAACGCGUUUGUUCGCCCGGGAGUGCUGUACGACCCCACCGGGAACUACAAAGGCUAUGCUUUGGAGGGCUGCGUUCCAAUCGUCUUGCCGGUGAUGGGCUCCCCGGCUGGCGAAACGAACGCGAGCCACUAUGAGCAGCUCCUCAGCGAUGGCUUCCUAUUGACAUGGAAUGAACCUCCUUCCCCUGCACGUAAGUUCACCCCGUCAAUUCAUUUUUUAAUCAAGUUCGGCUAGCCGCAGUGCCUAAUUUGCUGGAUUUCCCUAAUUAAGCCAAGCAAUCAAUCAUAUUGGUACUUAGUGCUCUCAGUAGGUUCAGAACAAACUCUUCUGACAGAUGUGCUAGCAAUCAAUUCCAUGAAUUUUCUAUUUCUAAGUUACCUAUUUAAGAAGUUACUUUUUUCUACCCUGGCCAAGUUCCACAACGCAGUGGCUAACGCCUAACGUUAGAAUAAAAAAAGACGUGAUUUGUACAUAUAGAAAUGUGCAAGUGUAUAUUAGAGAGUAUUUUUGGUGUGUGUUAGUUACUGGUUUUUUUUCUGUGUUGGAUACCGUUAAUUACAUGCCAAGUAUGAAGGCUGUACUGAGAUUAGAAUCUACUCCUAGCUUUCUAGCAGACAAGAACACAAACUAGCCGGGACCGAAAUAAUUGGGCUAGGCAUCGCGGUUCCAGUCACAUCACGGGCUCACGGAGGUCAUUGUCAUGGCUUACCCCGUCAAAGCUGUUAUAUUAGAAGCCAUGGCUUACCGUCCAGACUCAGAUCAAUUGGGGAUUUUCGUGGAGGAUGAUCGCUUGGUCCAAUUUUUCCAGUCAAAUCUUUCGGCCAAUCGCUUGCCGUCCGCAUAUAUGGUUCAAGCUUCGACCACGCUGUUCUCUUUUACGUGUAGUCUGUGUCCCCAUAGCCCACGACCACCGCACCUAUCGUGUGACCCCCUCCAGUGCUCACUGCAAUCUUCCCUCCUUCUGCCCCGAUGUCUCUGAGCUGCUGGUCCUGGUUCCUCGCCUUCGCCUGGGUUUGGUGUCUGCCACUGAUGCUCAUGGCGGCCGAGGAGCAGCAAGGGGAUGGCUGCUUGGCCAAGUGUGGCAGCGUCACCAUCUCCCCCCCGUUCUGGCUCACUGAUUGGCAAACAGGAAGAUUAUGUGGUUCGCCUGGACCGCUGGACUUCGAGCUUACAUGCUAUAACGGCAGUUAUCCACUUCUUCCAAGCUCUGUGCCCAACAACGCCGGCUUUGCAAUCAUGGACAUAUCCUAUGAGGAACGCAGCUUGCGCGUCGUUGAUCUACGCAAGCUGCAACUAUUACACGACCCGCCCAACAUCUUCAACAGCUGCUUGCCGAUGUGGAACACCUCUGCCAAACUGGGCCGCCCGUUUAAGAUCUCCCCCGUCAACCUGGA
rnacentral:lncRNA from 1 species